rnacentral:rRNA from 1 species
GAUGAACGCUGGCGGCGUGCCUAAUACAUGCAAGUCGAGCGAACAGACGAGGAGCUUGCUCCUCUGACGUUAGCGGCGGACGGGUGAGUAACACGUGGAUAACCUACCUAUAAGACUGGGAUAACUUCGGGAAACCGGAGCUAAUACCGGAUAAUAUAUUGAACCGCAUGGUUCAAUAGUGAAAGACGGUUUUGCUGUCACUUAUAGAUGGAUCCGCGCCGCAUUAGCUAGUUGGUAAGGUAACGGCUUACCAAGGCAACGAUGCGUAGCCGACCUGAGAGGGUGAGCGGCCACACUGGAACUGAGACACGGUCCAGACUCCUACGGGAGGUAGCAGUAGGGAAUCUUCCGCAAUGGGCGAAAGCCUGACGGAGCAACGCCGCGUGAGUGAUGAAGGUCUUCGGAUCGUAAAACUCUGUUAUUAGGGAAGAACAAAUGUGUAAGUAACUAUGCACGUCUUGACGGUACCUAAUCAGAAAGCCACGGCUAACUACGUG